rnacentral:rRNA from 1 species
AGUGAACGCUGGCGGUAGGCCUAACACAUGCGAGUCGAACGGCAGCACAGUAAGAGCUUGCUCUUACGGGUGGCGAGUGGCGGACGGGUGAGGAAUACAUCGGAAUCUACUUUUUCGUGGGGGAUAAGGUAGGGAAACUAACGCUAAUACCGCAUCCGACUAACGGGUGAAAGCAGGGGAUCUUCGAACCUGGGGGGAUUGAUUGAGCCGAUGUCGGAUUAGCUAGUUGGCGGGGUAAAGGCCCACCAAGGCGACGAUCCGUAGCUGGUCUGAGAGGAUGAUCAGCCACACUGGAACUGAGACACGGUCCAGACUCCUACGGGAGGCAGCAGUGGGGAAUAUUGGACAAUGGGCGCAAGCCUGAUCCAGCCAUACCGCGUGGGUGAAGAAGGCCUUCGGGUUGUAAAGCCCUUUUGUUGGGAAAGAAAAGCAGCAGGUUAAUACCCCGCUGUUCUGACGGUACCCAAAGAAUAAGCACCGGCUAACUUCGUG